UGUGGUGAACAAGUUUAUGAUAGCACAGAUGAUAAACGAAUUUGCUGUGGAAAUGAUUCUGGAUCAAAACAGGGUGUUAUUCACUCUGUCUCAAAUAUGCAAAAUCCCAAAUGUUGUGGAAAUCAAGUUUACUCAUCAUUGGUGAAAAGUUGCCUUGAUGGUGUUCUUCUAGAUAGGAAAUUCAAACGAAAUCGUCUGGACGUUAGAUGUAAGAAGACAAUGGAACAGACAGGAAAAAGCCUUCUCCGAGAACUUCAGCGGUAUAUUAAUCUUUCAAAUGCCGAGGCACAUUUGAGAGAUAAAAAGCAUUAAGGACUAGGUCUGUGGCGAAGUACAGAAGCUUACCGUAUUUUGAGAGUUCCUACAACGCGUGCAUUGA